rnacentral:rRNA from 1 species
UACGUAGGGUGCGAGCGUUAAUCGGAAUUACUGGGCGUAAAGCGUGCGCAGGCGGUUUUGUAAGACAGGCGUGAAAUCCCCGGGCUCAACCUGGGAAUGGCGCUUGUGACUGCAAAGCUAGAGUGCGGCAGAGGGGGAUGGAAUUCCGGCGUGUAGCAGUGAAAAUGCGUAGAUAUGCGGAGGAACACCGAUGGCGAAGGCAAUCCCCUGGGCCUGCACUGACGCUCAUGCACGAAAGCGUGGGGAGCAAACAGG